rnacentral:rRNA from 1 species
GUGGGGAAUAUUGGACAAUGGGCGCAAGCCUGAUCCAGCCAUGCCGCGUGGAUGAUGAAGGCCCUAGGGUUGUAAAGUCCUUUUAACGGGGAAGAUAAUGACGGUACCCGUAGAAUAAGCCCCGGCUAACUUCGUGCCAGCAGCCGCGGUAAUACGAAGGGGGCUAGCGUUGCUCGGAAUUACUGGGCGUAAAGCGCACGUAGGCGGCUUCUUAAGUCGGUGGUGAAAUCCUGGAGCUCAACUCCAGAACUGCCUUCGAUACUGGGAAGCUUGAGUUCGGGAGAGGUGAGUGGAACUGCGAGUGUAGAGGUGAAAUUCGUAGAUAUUCGCAAGAACACCAGUGGCGAAGGCGGCUCACUGGCCCGAUACUGACGCUGAGGUGCGAAAGCGUGGGGAGCAAACAGGAUUAGAAACCCCAGUAGUCC